GCGACAGCCAUGAAGACCCCAGCCAGGGCCACCUCAGAGCCGGCCAGGUAGAAGAUGAUCUCAUAGUUCUUCAACACAUCCACCAGGCGGCCUGGGGAGGAGGAGGAAGAGGAGGGAGAGAUGUAAAACCUCAUGUGGAUUCUGCCAUUUGAAACCUUAAAAAUGUCACUUGCUGUCCCUGGACCUCAAUUGCUUAAGUGAUAUGUGGCUUCUGAGACAGGGUUUUGCCAUGUUGCCCCGGCUGGUUUCAGACUUCUGGCCUCAGCCCCCCAAAGCGCUGGGAUUACAUGCAUGAGCCACUACACCCGACCAGGAAAAUCUCUUAAUUGCAAAUCCAUCCAGAUUCACACAAGAAAUGGAAGACGGUUCCUUGAGGCCUGGGCAGGCUGGUUUUGUGGCCUGCCCACACACUGGCUCAGGGACUUUGCCGUUCUCACUGGGUCAGGUGGGAUGACAGAGCUCAGUGAGGGCACUCGAUUAGCCCAGCCCUGAAGGAAGGACGAGCAGCUCACCCCAUCUCAGUGCAGCCUGCGGCCCCCGCAAGGUGUCCUCCCUGGUUACUGCACCAUCUCACAGCCCUCUAGCCUCUGGGACUCAAAGGCAGGCUCCCUUGCUGUUUCAAGAUAACUUGACAACCCAGGAAAACCCUCAUGUCCCCCACUCCCACCUUUCCAAUUUUGGUUCCUGCCUUGCUUGCAUAAGGACGCUGUUCCCCCCCAACAAGCCCUGCCCAUCCAUGCUGUGCCUUCACCUGGGGGAUAUUCCAGGAAGCCUUCCCUGACCACCCUCAUGACGAUGACUUCCUAAGGGUGACGGUGACAAGUGCCAGCAGGCCAUCUGCACAGUGAAAGACACCAGUGCUUCUCCCCAUCUGCCCGCUGAGCACCCCCACUCUGUUUCUGGCCCCAACACCAGUUUCCCAAAGAUACUGUCCCCAUUCCAGUCACCAUUCUAGAUGCACCAUUCUAAAGGCGUGGGCAUUUAGCAGCAGGUACACUGAGGCUCUCAUUCUGGGGCUGCAACUUGCGCUAAGGCUUUGUGCCUCAGUUUCCUCAUCUGCAAAAUGAGAAUAAGCACCUGCGCUCCAGAUGGCCUUGUGCCAACUGCUUGGGAUGGCAGAUCUGGCCAGCUACCAGUGUUGCUUUCUUCCCUGCACCUUCCUGGGCUUUUCUGUCCUCACCCAGAGCGGGCGGUCCGGCUUGGAGGAGGGACUAACUGGCCGUGAAGGGGAGUCCACCCACCCGACUGCCCCUUCCCCUCAUCCCUGGAAGUUCCAUCUGAGACAGGGGGAUGGAGCUUCCCUGGGUCUAAGGGGCACUAGGCUCGCCACCCCCUCUUCCUUCGGGGCGCACCGGCAGAGGGCGGUCCGAUGAGCACAGCCGCGGCCUCCACGAGCAACACCAGGCCCAGCGCACUGGGGAAGCGGGGCGCGCCCACAGCCGCC
rnacentral:lncRNA from 10 species